GAUGAACGCUGACAGAAUGCUUAACACAUGCAAGUCUACUUGAAGUACUUCGGUACGGAUGGUGGCGGACGGGUGAGUAACGCGUAAAGAAUCUGCCUUUUAGACUGGGAUAACAGUUGGAAACGACUGCUAAUACCGGAUAUUAUGGAAUUGUCGCAUGACAGUACUAUGAAAGCUAUAUGCGCUAGAAGAGGACUUUGCGUCCCAUUAGCUAGUUGGUGAGGUAACGGCUCACCAAGGCGACGAUGGGUAGCCGGCCUGAGAGGGUGAUCGGCCACAAGGGAACUGAGACACGGUCCUUACUCCUACGGGAGGCAGCAGUGGGGAAUAUUGGGCAAUGGAGGAAACUCUGAUCCAGCAAUGCCGCGUGAGUGAAGAAGGCC
rnacentral:rRNA from 1 species